rnacentral:lncRNA from 1 species
CCAGGGCUUACAGUGGGCUCAGGGCCUGGGAUACAGGAAGGAGCUGUCAGCCUCCCAUAAACACGACUCAUCCUGCACCGAUGAUACAGAGGGCCUGGGGGUAGCGCUCCCCGGCCACCCCGCUGCCAACCCGCCGUUUUACACUGUGUGCUGCUAAGUUCUAGACUUGUGGAAUCCUACGGGGCUUUCCUUCAGGCGCCGGUCCCCGUCUGUGGUUAUCUUCUCUGCAUGUUUUCCUACACAGCAGUGAAGUACGCUGAUUUCAGGGGGCCGUUACGCUGUUUUUUCAAUGUGGUGCCGUGCCGAGAAAUAGAAACUCAACAGCAGAGGGAACGGACUAAAAGUAGCAGUUCUCAGGAGAAAUCUGAUGUGUUGUGCAUUGAAGUCCACAAGCAAAGGGAAGAGAUGAGAGGAGAAAUGCAAGAAGGAAUACAACUUGGCUGCUAUGAAAGUGAACAGUGUUAAUGCAUGAUCAGUGGUGUAUUCAUUCCGCCGAUUCUGUUGAAAAAAGUUUCUUAAACGGAAGCAAACGGAACAAAACGGGUAAAACAUACCUGAAUUUGUCCAAUACAAACUCUCGUUUGCAACUGUUGUACCAAUGAUUACACCCUACAUCAACUAGAUGCAGGCAAGAUCGUGCAAGGCAGUAUUGAAUGUCACUAUCUGUCCAUGUGUCACUGUCCCCUCAAAUUUGUCUCUUGACCUGUGUUCACCUACAUUGUAAACUUUCAUUCAUAGGCUAGGUUGUAGCAACCUGAUGGGUAGAGGGAAAAUUAGAGUAUCAUGUACUAGCCUAAACUUAUUGCUGUUACAUUGAACUGGG